rnacentral:rRNA from 1 species
UACGUAGGGUGCGAGCGUUGUCCGGAAUUAUUGGGCGUAAAGGGCUCGUAGGCGGUUUGUCGCGUCGGGAGUGAAAACCUUGGGCUUAACUCAGGGCUUGCUUUCGAUACGGGCAGACUAGAGGUAUGCAGGGGAGAACGGAAUUCCUGGUGUAGCGGUGAAAUGCGCAGAUAUCAGGAGGAACACCGGUGGCGAAGGCGGUUCUCUGGGCAUGAUCUGACGCUGAUGCGCGAAAGCGUGGGGAGCAAACAGG